rnacentral:rRNA from 1 species
CUACGGGAUGCUGCAGUGAGGAAUAUUGCACAAUGGGGGGAACCCUGAUGCAGCAACGCCGCGUGGAGGAUGACGCAUUUCGGUGCGUAAACUCCUUUUAUAUGUCAAGAAAAUGACGGUAGCAUAUGAAUAAGCACCGGCUAACUCCGUGCCAGCAGCCGCGGUAAUACGGAGGGUGCAAGCGUUACUCGGAAUCACUGGGCGUAAAGGACGCGUAGGCGGGUUGGAAAGUCAGGUGUGAAAUCCUACAGCUUAACUGUAGAACUGCACUUGAAACUUCUAAUCUAGAGUAUGGGAGGGGGAGAUGGAAUUAGUGGUGUAGGGGUAAAAUCCGUAGAUGUCACUAGGAAUACCUAAAGCGAAGGCGAUCUCCUGGAACAUUACUGACGCUAAGGCGUGAAAGCGUGGGGAGCAAACAGGAUUAGAUACCCUCGUAGUC